ensembl:lncRNA
CAAAGAGUAGAGAGAAAGGUAAUUCUAAAGCUAAUGCGAAAUGCUGGACAUUUUGCUUUUGGGAGGCGGUGAGAGACUCAGCUGGCCGGGAAGGGGGCCUAUGAGCCACUGAGUUUCUAACAAUGUAAUCAAGAGUCAACACGUGGGCAGAAAAUAGGACGCUUUGAAAUUCACUAUCUUCAGAAAGCCUUUCCAGACUCCAGCUACUCUUCUGCCGCGGCUUUCUUACUUCUUUUCUCUUCUCGGCUUAUUUGGGUUGGCUUCUUUGCCCACGACUGUCACUCUCCACCAAAGACAGAGGAUCCGAUGCAGGAGGCAGACAGAGCUGGGCUUCAACGCCAUGCCACUUGCUGUAGCUGGAGCCUUAUCUGAAAAGGUGAGAGGGACCACGUCAGCCUGCAGACCCACCCACCAACCACUUAAGGUCAAGACAACAAGCUCUUCCCAAGGCAAACCAACCCUAGGACAAAAAUAGAGCCAUCAUUCUGACCCAUUGUCCUUCCGACCAAUUCCUUGGCUUCCCAGCCAUUUGGAAACCUCACUGGGAAGUUUGGAGACCUGUGCUUGCAGGCUGGCCUGGCACAGACAGAACUGUGAGUACAGAAGGAGGACACCUCCCGUUUGGAUCCUGGAUUGUAGGCCAGGUCUACCUAGAAGCCAAUCACUCAAGGGACGGCUCAACGGUUCACUAAGGACAGCGUGGGAGGAAAACGUGGCCCAGCCUGAUAGAUAUCUCAGUCUUUUCACCCAGACCGACGCCAGCAAAGCUAAAAAUAAAUCAGCUUUCAGGUCUGGGCACAGAGGCCUGGAAGGCGCAAGCGUUCAUGAGCCAGCAGUAAUGAUGGAACCAGCCCUCUCGUGUGGAAGUCUCUCUGAGUGAACCAGAUGUCGUUGGCCCUAGGAGAUCCACGACCAAGAGUUGAGUUUUCACAGCGUUGAAAGGCCAGCAUUGGCCCUAACGCUAUUGGCCUCAGCAGAAGUCAGGAGCAAGAGUGAAGACCUAAUGAAGAGAGAGAGAGGCUGGAGAGUCUGGACAGAAACCUGCGAGCCUUAGAUUCUCAUGCUGUCUCAUCAAGCGCAGGGCCCAGCUUUUCAUCCAGUGAAGGAGUUAACGAUCCAGAGGGGAAGACGAUUUGAGCUCUUUACAGACCCGCGUUAUACAUGACUGGCUGCUGAUCCAUCUCCUUCUCGCUGACCAGGACGAGGAAACUGACUGACAUCGUCAAGCAGCAGCAGUGAAGAUGCAGCGUAGACUUUCUGGACAGACCGGUUGCCAAGAACCAAACUGUGGAAGGAGUAAUAAGUAUUCAUUUAACACCCAGUUAUAUAACACAUAUAUAUCAUAUAACAGAGUUAUAUGAUAGGCACUCUGGGGUAAAAAAAUAAAAAUCACCGAACCGACUCUUAACCUCAAUUUGGGUAUUGAAGAAAGGAUUGUCUUGCCUUGCACAUAGUAGGCAUUUAGUAAAUGUUGAAUUGAAGAAUAUAAUCGAACGGUGAUUCAGCUGAGGGAAGGCCUACACAGAGGAAGGGGGAUCUCAAAUCUCUUCCAAAACUGUAAGAAUGACAAGGCAGGAUGUUCUGUGCAAGGCUGGAGUCACAGCUUUCAAAGACAAUUCAAAUGCUACGUGGUCAAGGCACAAGGGGAAAAACAGCCUCUUGAAUCCCUAAUUGUUUACUUCCUUAAGAGAGUAAGUUUAGCUGGCGGCAUGGAGCUUAUUCAUUCAUUCAUUCAUUCACUUACUCAUCCUGUAAUUAUGAAGCAGUUCUAUAUACUAGGUGCUGGGCUCAGCACUAAGGGUAGAGCAGUUGAAAUAAGAUGAACAGUUUCUUGUCCUCAGGAAGCCUCUAGUCCAGGGAGGAAGUCAGACAUUGAAAAUAGAUGUUCCAGCUGUGAUGAAUGGAUCGAUAGGGGCAAUCAAAGUGCUAUGGAUAUCAUUUGUCGUGUACUGCAAGUUUAUUAACCUAGGAAUAGAUUCAAACAUUGUCAUGUACAUAUUGUGACCAUGACUUUGCAAAUGAACUUUUAACAAACAUAUUGAGACUUAUGCAUAUAAAUAAGUGUUUUUUCCAACAAAGACUCACUUUGGAAGCCCGUGUUCAUAUUUCAAUGAUACUUUUCUGGUUACUG